GAUGAACGCUGGCGGCGUGCCUAAUACAUGCAAGUCGAGCGAACAGACGAGGAGCUUGCUCCUCUGACGUUAGCGGCGGGCGGGUGAGUAACACGUGGAUAACCUACUUAUCAGACUGGGAUAACUUCGGAAAACCGGAGCUAAUACCGGAUAACAUGUUGAACCGAAUGGUUGAACAGUGAAGGACGGUUUUGCUGUCGGUUAUAGAUGGAUCCUGUCCGCAUUAGGGAGUUGGUAUGGUAUAGGCUUACCAUGGCAACAAGGCGUAGCCGACCUGAGAGGGUGAUCGGCCACACUGGAGCUGAGACACGGUCCAGAGGCCUACAGGAGGCAGGGGGGGGGAAGUGGCCACAAAGGGCGAAAGCAUGACGGAUCAACGCCGCGUCGGUGCGGAAGGUCUGUGGAUCGUAGAACUCUGUUAUUAGGGAAGAACAAAAGUGUAAGUAGCUAUGCACGUCUUGACGGUACCUGAUCAGGAAGCCACGGCUAACUACGUG
rnacentral:rRNA from 1 species